rnacentral:lncRNA from 1 species
CCUCUAGAGUGUAAGAGCUUAGCAAGUAGCAUCAUGGGGUUAACAUGACCUUAUGCUGGAAAUGGGACGAUUACAAUAUGGGGUUUACUGGUUUCAAGUGAACCCAUCUUUGCAAAGCAGUAACAAAGUUGUAAAAUUAAGGUGUUUGCAGAGAAGCUUUCCUUGCUUUCUAGCUUCUCUAAAGCUUGACGAGUAGCAACAUGCAAUAUAUAGGAAAAGGGUGGCGUGAAAGAGUUACGCUACGUCCUUUGUAUUCCUUUUUCAAUAGAGAAACUGUGGGAAAAUUAAUUAUUUUUAAAUUUUUUUAUUUUAUUUUCAAUCUAAACCAUACAUUUAUAAAGAAUUUUAUAUUUUAUUCUCAAAUCAAUAUAUAUCUAUUGGAGAAUUUUAUUUAUAUUUCUUAUUAAAUGAGAUAUUUAAAUUGAUUCGUUUGACUCGAGUUCUUUUUAAAGAUAUUAGCUUUAAUGUCACAUGCGUUGCAUGUAAUUUUACUCAUUUAAUAUUUAAAUGAUUUUUAAAAAUAUUGUACUUAAUUACAACAAUUAGCAUAAAAUAAUAUUUCUUAUUUGAAUUUUUGAAUAUAACUAAAAUAUAUUAACUUAUCAAUUCAAAUAUAUAAUAGAAAAUUUCAAGUAAUAAUUAAAGCAUUUUAAAGUGGUAAUUGACAUAGUUAACUCUAUUAUUGAUUAGGUGAUAAUUAAUGUGCUUAGAAUUCUAUUCAAAUAAUAACUCUAUUUUACAUCAAGAAAAUUAGCACAAUUUAAAAAAAAAUAAUAUUAGCAUAAUUAUAAUUAUCUGUAACGCCCCAAAAUUUUAUUUUUGGGUAUUGUGAAUAUGAGACCCAAAUAUCUGCUUGCUUCAGUAGUUAAGUGUUUUAAGUGUGUGUAUGAGGUCCCAAUUUCAAGCCAUGCCUUUGGCGAAAUUUUGAAAAUAUUUCUGAUUAAAGCCUUAUCCUUGUUCAGUUGGCUUAAGUUUACGAGUUGGAGUGUUGGAGGUUUUGUGUUCGAAUCUUUGCGUGAGUAAGAAUGUUAAUCUUUUUACUCUGUUUCCUGGAAGAGUUGUGUAGAAGAUGGAUUCUGAGUAGUGGAUUGUUAGUGGGUAGUUAAUUGAGAGAAGAUAUGGGAGUUAUCAGGAUUAUUUUUGUUUUUUUAUCAUUAUUAUUUUAUUCUUUUCAAAAUUCAUUUCUCUUUCUAUCUCUCCAAAAUUUUGACGUCGACUUUCUUCUUCACUUUUCUUCUUCAAUUUUUCGCGGCUUCCUGUUGGAUUUUUCGCAGUCAAUCAUUGCUCUUGCGUUCGUGGCCCUUUUCAUCUGCUAAGUGAUCUCUUUUGGCCUUCUUCCUUUGAUUUGGGGUCUAGCAACGUCAGUUUAUUGUAGUUAAUCGAUGUAUCCUGUGUUUAUGAGAAGAUCAAGGAGCUGGGGUUUCCCAGUCGGCGCUUUAAACGUGCGGAUGAACGUUGCUCGACCGAAGGUAAGAUUUUAGUCGAUUUAAGUGGGUUAUCUAUCACUUUUGGUUCGGUUUAAUGUCGUUCUAAGUGUUUAAUUCUGGGUUCGUUUGGUCAAUUUUAGGUAUUGGAGUUCUCGGGAGUGUUUUUGCAACGAAACAAAACCAGGUGUGUGCCUGAAACACAAAAAUAAGGGAUUCGACGAAAAGCUGAAAUUUCUUGCUGUUUGGACAGCAGCAGUAGGCUAAAUUUGAAAAAUCACCAUAAAUUAUGGAAAUCGAAUUAGAGGAUGAAAAAGUAUGAGAUUAAAUAUAUUUGAGUCUAGUUUCUCAUAGAAGAAACUAAGUAAGCAAAAGAAUUUCAUAUUAUGAGAUAUUUGAAUUUUAGUGAGACAGGAUCAGAAUAAUUUCAGAAUCCCCUAUCCUGACUUUGGAAAAUUAUUAAAAAUUUUAUAAAAAUAAUUAUGGGUUAUAAUUUAUAUGCUUAAAAUCCUGAAUAAGUUUAUUUUCAAGAGAAAUAAACAAGAACAUCAUCUGAAUUCUGUAUGAGAAGAUAAUUAAUUUUUAGUGCAAAAAGGUUGAAACUAUUAGACAGCAGAAUAGGAGAAACUUUAAGGUCGCCAAACUAUUAAACUGUUUGACUGAUAAGGUCGCCAAAUUUGACUGUGAACCUAUAGUAGGGUCGGUAAGCUUACCUAGACCCCUAAUUGACUGAAAUGACUGUAUGACUGAUAUGAUUAAGCCUGAUGAUGUCUCACUGAUUUGAUACUGUAUGCCCUGUUUACAUGCAUGAUAUUAUGUUAUAGCAUGUCAUAUUUGUAUAUUGCAUUGCAUUGGGCUGGGGGAUUAUAAUGUUCAGAGGAAGUGUAUUGAAAAGCCUUGAGCCUAAUUUAUUAGCAGCUCAGCUGCAAACUACUGUCUAAUGUCGCAUUCGGUACUACUUAGAGUGUAGGGAUGAGUGGGUUGAUUAUAUCCCCAUAUGGAGUGCAGGGUUGGUGGAUGGAUAGGAUUUUUGUGACUGCAUAUCUAUUACUGCUACUGAUACUGUGAUGGGCUAAAGCCCUACUACAUGACUGUUUUUGUACUGAGAUGGGAUAAGGCCCAAACAGGACUGGUACUGAUACUGAAAAGGGUUUAAGCCCAAACUGUGAUUAUCUAUUUACUGUUUAUUCAUUUGUAUGGGGAUUACACACUGAGUUUACGUAAACUCACCCCUUCUGUUUAAUCUGUACAAGUAAUCCCCAGAUUUAGGCGGAUCGGUGCGGCGGAGGACUCAAUGGUGGCCACACGACUUCUAUUACACUGUUUAUUACCUAUUUAUGAUUUUACUUUUUUUUGGGAGUAUUUUGCUGUAAUUAUGGCCUUUAUGGAUUUUAGUUUAAAUUUAGUUUUUAUACGGUUUUAUGAUUUAAAUCUGCUAGUGUUAGGUAAAACUUGGGUUUUCAAAUGAAAUUAAUGUUUUAUCAAAAAUACCAUGAAUAUGCAAAUUGUUUAAAAGCUUCCGCAAUAAGAAAAUGUUUUGAAAUUGAAUAACGAUUUGUAAAUGAAUAAUGUUUUGGAAACGAACGACACGAUUUGAAAUUAACAUAAGAUAAUGAAAAAAAAGGUUAAAUAGAAAAGGGUAUUUAGCGACGACAUAUUUUUCGAAAAGUACUACCUUGUGACAUCGUCAGAUUCGGCCAUAACGUUUAGGCUGGGUUUGGGGUAUUACAUUAUCACAACUUUUUGCGCUAUAUUUUAUGCUUAGAGUUAUUUUCAAGUAACCAUUUUUAUUAAAUUAUAAUUAUUUUUAAAUGUAUAAUUAUCAAAAUUUAUAUUUUAUUUCAACUUUUUUGACGAAUAAUUCUAAAUUAAAUAUUAUUUGUUUUUUAAAUGUGAAUUUAAUAAUAUGAUGAAAAAAAAAAGAUAUUCAUCAAUUCAACAGUUUUUCCAAACUCAUACUUUUAUAUAUAUUAUAUAUAUGAUAGAUGUAAUCUACCUGCUAUAAUAAAAAAAUAAAUAUUUUUAAAAUUAUCGGAGUUGAUUUAAAUUAUUAUUUUAUUAUUGGUUUACUGCAAGUGGAGUAAUAGUACAUUAGUCUUAGACCAUGUUUGGUUCGAUGGAAUUGCUAUUCCAUUCCGUCCCUAUUCUGUGCACAACAGUAAUUCACUAAUUUGGUUCAUUGUUUAAGUGAUUCCGCAGAAUUCUAUUGCACCUUUAUUCCCUCAACUCUUGUAAUAGAAUUUCAGGGGUUGGGGGGUCUGAAUUGCUAUUCAAAAUCACCCGUAAUAACAUUUUUCCUUUUUUGGACCAAAAUAGCCUACCUCUCUUAUUCAUCGUUUUCACUUUCACUUCAGCAGAUUUCUUCCUUGACAUUUAUCCCCAAAGUGAACCCUAGAAAUUAGCUCCUUAAUCGACGACAAAUCAAGCAUUCAUUCGCCAUCUUCAUCUUCAUCUUCCUUCUAGUUGAACCUCCUUAUUUACAGUAAGUGCCUUUGAUUCCUAUUUUUUUCUCUGAUUUUUUAGUUAAAGUUCUUUCACUUCUUUCAACUGCUCUUUUCCCCUUUCAUAUUUGGAUAUAAACUAGCAAAGCAGAUUGUAAAACCAGCAAAGCAAAUUAUUCUUGGAUGAUUCAGUGAUAAGCAACUAUUUUGGUUCACCAAAUCCUCCAUCCGACAGAAUUUCAUUCAUCUCCCAUUCACAAAAUUAGUCGAUUGGUUGAUCCGAUUAUUUAGGGAAAUUUAGGGUUAGAAAGCUAAACUUGUUUUUUUUCGAAUUGUUGGGCAUUUCUGUUUAUUGUAAGGGAUUUCAGGUUGCUUGUCUCAAUAGUAAGGGAUUUCAAUUUCAGGUUGGAAUUUGUUGUUUGUGGAAAAUGGGUUGGUGGAGUUUUGGAUUUUGAGCUUUGAAUCAGUUAAGCAAGAAAAAGAAAAAGAAAACAGAGGCAGGGGAGAUAAGGAAAUCAUUUUACCAGUAAAUUUGCCAUUGCUUUGCUUUGCUUUUUUUUUUUAAAUUUUGAUUCUGAAAUGUUGGGCUAGUUACAGUGUAAGCUGAACAAAGCAUUUCAGUUGAGAAAAUAAUUGAAGUUAAAUUAAAGAUAAAUUCGACAUAUGUGCUAAUAUGCUUUGUUUAUUUUUGAAUCUUAAUGCUUAGAAAAUCAUAAGUUGCAUAGAGAUUUAGCUACUGCAUCGGGUUUUAGAUAAAGUUUUACCAGCAUCAUUAGGUUUUCUUUUAAUCUUAUCAAUUAAACAUUUGAUUGAUAAUUUUAGUUUUUUGGGAUUUUAAUUAAUUGGAUAUUGGGUUCGAACGUUUGAUUAGUUUAAUGUAGCUGUAUAAUAUGUGGAAAUAUUUGGUAACAGCUAUCCUGAAAUUUGAUGUAUCAAUCCUUUGUGAUGCUGAAUGGCCUAUGUUGGGAAUUAGGGUUUUCAGUCCUCUUUAGAAAUUGGAUAGAUUUCUUACCUUGCUGCUUGUCCGUAGUUCCACCAAAAAAAUAUGACCCUAUGUUAGGCCUUUUAUGGAGUUUAGAUGGAAGUUUUAGAUGUUGCAAAAUUAGAUUGCUUUUAGUGCAAUGGUUCUUUUUACUGGAUUUUGUUUAAUGAUGCUUUAUUUGAUACAGUUUAAUGUGCUUUUUAGAUCAUAUGUUUCAGAUGAGAUGGAUCAGAGUAUUUAGAAGAAUACGGUGAGAACAGGGUAAUUUUCAAACUGUGUUCUUAACCUUAAAUGCUACUGUUUCUUCCUCUUCUUUCUUUCUUUUUCUUAAAUUUUGUUAGUAUAAUGUUAUAAGUUGAAAGAAGUAAGAGCAUUUAUUUCUUUGUAUUUUCUGCCCUCUUGGAAUGUACCGUAUACAUUAUGUUGUUGUGGUUAACUUUAACAUUUUAUUGGAGUGUUUUGAAAACUAGGAGGAUAGAGGAUUGGUGGGAAGAAUGAUAGAAAAUGAGAGUACUUUUUCAUUCAUAUGCUCUCUAAGAAUGAUUUAGAAUUGGAAUGCAAGAAAAUGAUAUACCUAUUUAGUUUUUGUCUGUAAUCUCGCCAUCCUUUUUGUUUUGCUGGAUUAAAUAUUUAAGGUUUUAAGCUGUAAUUAGAAGAUGUCAUAGUUAUAAUUAAGAUGUCCUACUGCUGUAUCGUGAUUAAAAUGUAAGUAUUCAUGCUGUAAGUAUUUAUGUUGUCUUAAAACAUUAUCUGAAGUGGAUUAAUUGUUGUAAUUUAAACGGCCUUAAUAAUGAAAUUGUGGUAUCUUAAAAUGAUAAAUUGAGAGGAGUUAUAGUUGUAAUUUAUAGUGCUUGGGUGUCGUGGUUAAAAUGUAUAACUCUGGGAUUGAUAUUGAUGAUGUGCUGGUAAUGAAUAAAUCGAGUUUAAUUUGCCAAAUGACAUGUUAUUUUAGAAAUACAAAUUGAGUGUUGCUAAUGGUGAGUUUUCUUUAAACUCCUUUAUUAUUUCCAUGCUCAAAAUUCUUAUCAAUUUUACAUGGAUGAUUCGGCGAUAGUUAAAUAGGGAAAAAAAUUGUUCUUUACAAAUUUCAUGGUUGCUACUGUUUUGUAUUGGUUAAACUUGUUUAUUUCAGAUUUAGUUGUUGUCCAAUUAGUGCAAAAAUUUCCUGUAGCUCAAGCAAAGUAGAUGCUGUUGCUGCUCGGUUUUGUACUUUUAAAGCCCUAUUUAAGUACUGCAAUUUGAAGUGUUUAGUAGUUGGAAAUUGAGAUGUUUUAUUGCUGUAAUUGAGGUGCAUAAAUGUUGUUAAUAGAGAUGUUAAAGUGCUGCAAAUUGAAGUGUUUAAAUGCUGUAAAUUGAAGUGUUAAAAUGUAGCAAAUUGAAGUAUUUAAAUGCUGUGAAUUGAAGUGUUAAAGUGCUGCAAAUUGAAGUGUUUAAAUGUUGUAAAUUGAAGUGUUUUAAGUACUGAGGUGUAUAAAUGUUGUUAAUUGGGAUGUUAAAGUGUUGUAAGUUGAGGUGUUUAAAUGCUGUAAAUUGAAGUGUUUAAUUGUUGUAAAUUGAGGUGCUGAAAUGAUGUAAAUCGAAGUGUUUAAGUGCUGCAAAUAAUAUAUGAUUUAAUAACAUUCUUAAUAUAAUUAUCUCAACAAACGAAACAAAAAAAAAAGAGAAAGUAAAAUGCUACAAACAAAUCAUGUUAUGGUAAGAAUGUAACGUAUAUGGAGUUUUAGAUUUUAUUUAAAUAAAAAUAAUAACCGAAUAUUUUAAAAGACAUAAUUUUUAAGAUAUUUAACACACUAUAUACUUAUAAUCGAAUUGAGUUAAUACAAAAUAAAAAAAUUAAGACCUUAUUUUCUUUUCUCAUAAAAAUUAUUAAAUUCAUACUAUUUUUCUUUCCUUUUACUAAUUUUAACCAUUCAAACAAAAUAAUAUAUAUUUUUCUAUUCACAAUUAUGAAUUCAAAUAAAACAUUAGUUAAUUACAAUGUGAGAUGAAUACAAACUUUUUAAAAGGUAAAUUGAUAAAACACAUUCUUUUCUUUUUUUUUUCUUUUUUGAAUCGAAUACAAACUUUUUAAAAGGUAAAUUGAUAAAGGUAAAUAAAACGUCAGUCAUCAAUUAAUCAAAUCCACAAAAACACAUUCUUUUCUUUUCUUUCUUUUUUUUCUUUUUUGGGUGAUUGAUAAAGAAAUAAAUUUCAAGCUUUUUACUUGCAAAGAUAAUUUUAAUUUCUAUUUUGUGCUUCGUAAAGAUUCUUAAUAUGUAUUAUUCAUUUUUCUUUGAUAGUGUGUUAUUGUUUCCUCUUCUUCUAUGGCUUGUUUGAUUGCUUCCUCCACGUCACACCGUUGAGCGUCUUGUAUUCACUGAAUCACUAUAAGUUCUUUCGCUAUUAAAUUCUUUGAUUUUAUUUUACUGUUAUUGAAAUUAGUAUUGGAGAAAUGUGACCCUUUUACUACGAUUUGAAGAUAUGUAACACUUUAAUAUCUCGCAGUAAUGACUCGUCUACCUUUAAUAGUACAAAGUGUGAGGCGUAAAAGAAUUGGUCUUGCAUUGUGUAACACCCCAAACCCGGCCUAGACGUUAUGGCCGUAUCUGGUGUGUCACAUUGAAGUGUCUCUCAAAAUUUAGACUUGUUGAUAAAACUCGUUUCUUAAGUUUGGAAACCUCUUUAGUAAUGUUUAACGGAACAAUUAACCAAAUGUUUGCCUUAUUAACUACUAUUAUUAUAUCAAGUUGAUUUAAAACGUGGAAGCAUUUGAAAACUCUAACGUUUAAAGUUUGUGUCUUUGAAAACAGUAAUUAUUUUGAAAAUUCGUUUUCACUUAACUAGCAGUAUAAAAUAUGUAAGCAAAAGCCCAAUUAAAAUUUAAAACCCAAAUUAAAGGCUUUAUUACAAAACAAAACCCAACUUAUAAUUUAAAGUAAAAUAAAAGCAAGUGUGAAUAGCAGCAGUUGUGUGGCCACCUCCGAGCCCCUCGCGGCACCGGAUCGCCUAAGACUGAGGAUUACCUAUACAGUUAAAAGGAGAGGGUGAGUUUACGAAACUUAGUGUGAAAUCCCCUAUCAGUCAAUCAAUAUACAACGUGCAGUAGCAGUUUGGGCCAAAGCCCUAUACAACAACAGCGUGGGCCUUAGCCCAAUACAGUAACAGUGUGGCCCUUAGCCCAAUACAAUAACAGUAUAAUGCAGUAAUGCAACCCAUCCCAAUCCAGCCAACACACCACUCCGUACCACCAACACACCAUGUGGGGAUAAAAUCGACCCACCCAGCCAACACACCAAUAUCCCAGCAAAGCUGCCAGUAAUAGUGAUGCAGCAAAGCUACCAGUAACAGUAACGCAGCAAAGUUGCCAGUAACAGUAUAUGUGGCAAAGCCACCAGUACAAUAUACUUCCCCUAUAUCAGAAACCCAACCCGUGUAGUAUGUCAUGUCAUAAAUCGCACGUGUAUGCAGUAUGUCAGACUCAGUAACAGUCAUAUAUAUAUUAUAGAGUAAAUCGGUCCUACACAUACUUCAACUCCUAAGGGUAUAACAGUCAUUUUACCUUUUGGGGGUAUUGCAGUCAUUUUACCUUGCUAGGGUAUUUCAGUCAUUCUACCCUGCGAGGGUAUUUCAGUUAAUUUACCUUUUGGAGGUAUUUUGGUCAUUUUACCCUUUGAGGGUAUUUCAGUCAUUUUACCCUUUAAGGAUAUUUCGGUCAUUUUACCCUUCGAGGGUAUUUCGGUUAUUUUACCAUUCGGGGGUAUUUCGAUCAUUUUACCUUUUGAGGGUAUUUCGGUUAUUUUAGGCCCAUUACGGCUUAAGCCCAUGAAAAUGAUUAUAGAGGCCUCUAUAAUCUAACACCGUGUUUCGUGGGCUCGAUUUACCACACGAGCGUUCGCAUGCCCAUAUGGUCUCAGCCCCGUCUUUUUUGGAUUUUCGGCUUUUACCGAUUUAUAGUUGAGAGAGGGUGUAAUUACACACCUGUUUGUGAAAAUGUACUAAGAUCCACGAAUACCUAAAAUCUGCAUUCAUACAAGUUUUCCAUUAGUUACAAUCAAUAGGGUUAGUCUCAUUCUUUUGCAUCUUUAACCAAAAAAACAAACUAAUACUUGCCUCAACUGACAAAACUGGCUUAGCCCACCUAAACCAUUGACGAAAGUUGACUGCAAUCUUCUUGACGGAUAUCUGCAUCGCAAAUGGAUUCAUUAAACAAGAUUGUAAAAUCAUGUGGUUGAAAUCCGCACAUGAUAAUUUACAGAACCACAAGAACAUUCGGCCUACACCUAGAAGGAAGGCUAGUCUACCUAUUUACCUUGACCGAGUGAUGAGAGAGAGGUUUCGACAACUAUAAAACACUUAAAACUCCUUCACUCUUCGAGGGAAAUGAGCCAUCAGAGAACAGUUGUCAAGUCGAAAUAGAAUUGAAUAGAUGAAGAGGGAGAGAAAGACAAUAUUCGGCCAAGAGAGAAGAAGAAAGAAAGGCAAUAUUCGGCCACAAAGAAAAUAGGAAAGAACCAAAGGCUAUUCGGCCAAAACAAAAAGGGCAUAAAGGGAAAAGCAAAAAAAAAACAAAACGAACAAACCCGAGAGGUACUUUGAAGCCUUUGUAAGAUUCAACACCAAAAGAAAAAGGAGAAAACAAAAAAUGCUCACCCACCGAGGCAGACAGAGAGAAAAAUAAAAUAAAAUAAAAACCAAAAACUCCUCAAAAGAUAAAAAUCACCCCCAAAACUCCCCCUAGCCGAAUUCUCAAGGUUGAAUAAUCCCCAAACGGCACAACACUCCCCCUUAUCAAAUUCUUUGAUUUUAUCCUAAAAACUCUCCACUUAUCCUUCCUUGAUUCACUCCACCUAUUUCUCCUAUACUCCCUCUAUGACCAGUUCAAACUAAAUUUUGCAGUGUUCUAGUCCAACUCCACCACCUACCCAGCUCAAGCAGCAAAAUAAAUACUCCCAUGCGUAACCCAUGACUUGAACCUUUGACCUCGUAGUUACACCACAAGCCACCUUGCCAUUAGACCACAAGCUAUUUUUGUGUCAUAAAACCAACACUAAUAUUUAUAAGGCCUAUAUGCCUAUGUCCAGAUUCAUUUAAGAGCAAAACUAAAAAUUAUGCAAAAGCCAAGACUUGAACCCAAGCUCCUCAAACACCCCCAUACACACCCAAAUCACUUAACCAUUAAAGCAAACAAGCAAUUUGUGUCAAAACAUGCAAAAAUUAAAGACUUAAAUUUUGGGGCAUUACACAUUGACAAUAUGGUUGCAAAUGUGUACAGUUGCGAGUUGGUUCUUAGUUACAUUCGGUGCCAUCCAUAGCUUACAUACUUAUAGACCAAGGAUUAGAUCCUAUAUUUUAGAUUUUUAUACAAAACGAUAUUAUGUGAAAAAACUUGUAUAUUCUAGUGACGAGACCUGUAUUGAACAAGUUAGGAUGAAUAGAAUUACCUUUUUUAAACUAUGUGAGAUGUUACAAACUUUAGGGAAAUUGAAGUCGUCAAGGAAUAUGUUUGUUGAUGAGCAAGUGGCAAUGUUUUUACAUAUCAUUUCUUAUCACCUUAAAAAUCGAGUUAUCAAGCAUCACUUUAAUAGGUCUAGGGAAAUCGUUAGCAGAUCAUUUCACAAUGUUUUAAAUGCUGUCAUACGCUUACAAGAUGUGUUAUUUAAAAAGGUAGAGUCAAUUACAGCUAAUUCUACAGACCCAAGGUGGAAACGGUUCAAGGUAUUGGAGUGAGUUCUAUAUAUAGCUUGUACAUAAUUUAGUUGAUUUAAAUUUAAAUAUAGUAUCCUAACUCAAGGUUUUAUACAUGUGAUGUAGAAUUGCUUAGGUGCUUUAGAUGGAACCCACAUCAAGAUUAGGGUUCCAACAGUUGAUAAACCUAGAUAUCGAAUGCGAAAAGGUGACAUAGCAACAAAUAUGUUAGGUGUUUGUACACCUGAUAUGCAUUUUGUUUAUGUUCUUCCUGGUUGGGAAGGUUCUGUUGCUGAUGAACGGGUCUUUCCAGAUGCCAUUAGUAGGAGAAAUGGACUAAAAGUUCUUUAUGGUAAAGUGCAAAAUUAGAGGACUUUGAAUUAAUCUUUAAGAUCAUACUUUUUUGGGAAAUUAGCCAUGACAAAUAGUUUUUUUAUAGGUUGUUAUUAUCUAGUUGAUGCUGAAUACACAAAUUGUGAGAGAUUUCUUGCACAUUUUAGAGGAAAAAGAUAUCAUUUGAAUGAGUGGCGUCAGGGUUACUAGCCAAGUACUUUGGAAGAAUUUUUCAAUAUGAAACAUGCUUCAGCACAUAAUGUUUUUGAAAGAUGCUUUGGGUUAUUAAAACUUAUAUGGGGAAUACUUAAGAGUCCAUCAUUCUAUCCUGUGAGGGUGCACAAUAGAAUCAUUAUUGCAUGUUGUUUGCUCCAUAAUUUUAUUCAAACCUAUAUGAGUCUUGAUCCUAUUGAAGCGGAGUUGGGAGAAGGAUUACCUAGUAAUGUGAUAGAUGACGAUGAACCGAAUAUCGUAAGUAUUCAUCCAUCGGAUGCAUUGGCUACUUGGAGGAUGGAACUAGCCAACCAAAUGUUCGGUGAAUGGCAAGCAUCUAGAAAUUAGUUAGGUUUAGGGUAAAAAUAGUAAACGUUAAUUUGUUUAUGUUAUUUCAUUUAUCUAGUUUAUGAAACUUUGGUGGUGUUUGAAUUGUUUUUUGUAUUGUACUAGACUUGUUGAAUUAUAAUUUAUUUUCUUUUGAUUCAUCAUGUGCUAUAAUUUUGUAAAGUGUUGACCUUUUGAUUCAUAAUAUUAACCUUAAUUUUAAUUUGUUUUUUUUCUUAAGAUAGUUAUGUUAGGUUUUUCACAAUCAAGUGUUUCUUCCCAAAAUUCUCGAGGAACCAAAAGGAAAUGGGUUCCAGAAGAAGAUGCUACGUUGGUUGCUUGUAUGGUCGACUUGCACAAUGUUAGAACCUUUAAUACUGAUACGAGAUUCAAAUUCGGUUAUUUAAAUGAGUUGGAAAAAUGUCAGAAAAUUUUUUACCCAAUGCCAUGUUGAAGGCUAAACCUAAUCUUGAAUCGAGGAUUAGGACAUUGAAAAGGGAUUGGUCAAUCAUUUAUAACAUACUUAGUGGAAAAAACAAUAGCGGUUUUGGUUGGGAUGAACAUAGGCUACUUGUUGUUGAUGACGAUGCGGUGUGGAAAUUAUAUAUAAAUGUAAGAAUUAGUUCAAGUCUUUAUUAUCUUAUUUUGACCAAACUUAUAUCUAAUAUGAAUUCCUCAUUUUUAUAGAGCUGUAAAGAAGCCAAUCAAUUCAAACAUCGUAGUUUCCCUUAUUAUGACCAACUUACUGCCAUCUACGUAAAAGAUGGAGCCACUGGGAAAGAUGCUCAAACAGCCGCUGAUAUUAUUGAAGAAAUAGAUGUUGAGGAUGUAGCUACUACAAAUACUCAUGAAGAAAGAAACAAUUUCUAUGGAUGCGAAGCUGAUAUUUCUUUGGAUGACAUGGAUCUUUCAGCUACACAAUCGCAACCAGCUAGAAGCCAAGGUGAUUCCACAUUUUCAAAGAAGAAGAAAAAGAUUUAUGAUGCAAGUGAUCAUAUUUCUUCUACUUCAUUUAAUGAUGCUGCCAUUUUAUUGGCGAAAAACAUACGGGCCGUUGGUGUUGAAAUCAGUGGGAGUAUUGCCUCCGAAGUGCUAAUUCAACAAAAGUCAAAAAUGACCAUUCAAGAAAGAGCUCUAAAAUUGUAUCCAACAUUAUGUGAAGUAAAAGGUUUAAUUAAGAAUGAGCACUAUCGCUCAUUGAGCAAAAUUCUAGAUUAUCCAACGCAAAUGCUCAUUUUCUUUAGUUUACCUUCUUCUAUGCAAUUGGAAUGAGUCAGAAGAUUUCUUGCUGACCAUUAAAAAUCAUGGUUGUGUUGAUGAUAUUUUGGUAACUUUUUGUGUUUGUAAUAUUUGGAUGGUAUAAUGACAUGAUAGAAUGUCAUUACAAUGUUGUAACUUUUUGAUGUUGUAAAAUUUUAUAACAUAUGGAUUAUGACAUAUAAACUAAUAAAAUCAUGUAACUUCUUGUUAAUAUAUGAAUAUUAUGUUUGGAUGUGAAAUAUAAUUCUCAAGUUAUUUAUUACUUCUAAUAUUUUGUUUUUUUAUUGUAGAAUAAUUAAAUUAUUUGUUUCACUAAUGAUAUUUUAGCACAUUAAAUAUGUAUUGCAGUUUAAAAAUAAUAAAGUAGAUUAUAUAUUAUUUUUAUAGUAUUAUAUAUUAUGAUUUUAGUAAAUUCAUAAUAAUAAUUAUUAUAUUCAUAAUUUUAUUAAAUUAUAUUUAAUAAUUAUUAUGUUAAAAUAUGGUUAAAUUUUUUAUUAUUUUUAUUAAAUUAUUUUUAAUAAUAAUCUUAUUAAAAUUUAAUAACAAUAACAAUAAUCAUCUACCUAAAAAAAUCUACUAAGGGUAUUCUAGUCAUUUUAGUUUUUUUUCCUUAUGCUAUUACAACAUCAUUACAUUCAACCACACACAAGAAUACUAUUACAGUUAUAUUCCAUUCCAUUCAACCAAACAAUUGAAUUACUAAUUACAGCUUUAUUCCAUUACAGCUCUAUUCAAUAACAGCUCUAUUCCAUUACAGUGAACCAAACGUACCCUUAGAGUUUGAAUCUGUUGGACAACCUCUAUCCCUUUUUAAAAAAAAAGAAGGAUAAUAUUUUAAUUGUUUUGAUAAAGUGCGGAAUUUUUUACAUAAUCUCUAUUCAACCUUUAAACCGGAAUAAAAAUGUGUUGAAUUUCACGUCAUUAUUAAUUACUUCAAUAAUGAUAGUAUCAAUUGAAUUAAGACUAAAUCGGUAAAAUUUUUAAAUUUUUAAAUGAUAUAUUUAAUGGGUGAUUCCCAAAGUUAACAUAUAGUAGCUUUUGAAAAAAUAUACAACUUGCUUAAUGAUUUAGUAUUCAUACCCAUCCCUCCUGGAAGAAAGUUUUAUUAAUGUAAAUAGAGAACAUAUUUGGUACACUAUCAUUGGAGCUUCUAGACUCUACUACAAGAUCAAGGAGUCGAUAAGUGUUUUAUAGGAGUAUUGUAAAAUAUUAAAAAAAAGACAUGACAAAUUUUUAAGGUUGUUUGUGGAAUAAAAAAACACUACUAUUAUACCAAAUACUAGUACAUGUAAAUAAAUAAUUAUCACAAAAUUUUUUAUCUUAUACAAUAAUAUAUAAUUCCACAUUAGUUAGUAUUAAUUAAAUAAUUAUGGGGGAGGGGAUUAAUGAAAAACAAGGUUUUACCCUUUUAAGUAGGUACUAAGAUUAUUUCUUCUUUUUUAUGGCAAAAAGUUAAAAAAAGAUAAUUUCUUUUUGGUACUAAGAUUAUUUGUUUAGUGAUUUCUUUAUUUGAGAAUGACAACAUUGACUUACCUUCAAUGUAAUAUAAGUCAUGGAUUCAUUUGCUAAAUGGUAGAAAUAUUCAUUCCAAUAAAAAAAUUAAUAUUGAAAAUGAUAAAUACACAAUAGUUACUUAUAUUUAAUAGAAAAUUUAUUGAAUUACUUUUUUUUUAAAGAUUAUACCAUCUUUUAAGGCAGUAGUGGAGCUAAGGGGUUGGCAGGCACCUACCCGUUACAAUGGGAAAAUUUUCAUUUAUGCUCUUUAUAAUUUAUAAAAUUUUAAAUUAGUAAUGAUAAAAUUACACUUUGACCCCCUUAAAAAUGAUAAAAAUUUGAUUAAUUCUUUAAAAAUUAUAAAGAUAUAGACUAUUAAAAUGGUGAAAUUACAUUUUUACUAUCAUAAAAUAUACAAUUUAAUUCCACCCUGAAAAACUUUUCUAAUUCCGCCACUGUUUUAUAUUUAAAUUAAUUACGCUUGAACUAGAAUGUCACAUUAUUCUCUAUAUAUUUUUUUUUACUUUUAGAUUUAUAAUAUUUUAUAUUUAAUAGUAUAUUUUAUUUCAAAUGUUUCAUAUUUAUACUCAAAGUCAUUUAAAUAUUGGGUUUGUUUCAUAAAAUGUUUAAGAAAAAAAUAAAAAUAUAAAACAUAAAACUUUUAUAAUUAAAAAUUUAUAUUUAUCAAAUUUAUAUUUAUAUUUAAUAAUUAAUUUUAAGUAAUAUAUCAAAUAAAUUUUAUAAUUUAAAUUCAAUAUAUGUAAUUUUUUAACACUUAAUUUUUAAUUUAUUUUUUAUCCAUAUUUUUCUUCCCUUAUUGUGGGAGAUUCGGCCCCACCUUUGCAUAUUCAAAUAUUAUUGUUAUCAUAUAAUAGUUUAUAAUGAAACUGUUGUUGUUAUAAUAAAUUUAUGUAUUUAUAUUCCAACUCCAUUAUAUAUUUGAAGUAGAAAGGGGCAUCCAUAAGCAUGUGAGGCAGAGCAAAUAAAACCUUUCUGCCAAUUUGUUUGGCUUCCAACAUGACACGUGCCAAUUAGGAAAUACGUACGUAAACGAAAGAUGGAAAACAACAGGUUGCGACUCUUUACCAUUAGAUCAGACCAUUACCACUAUGUUACGUCUUUUUAAUUAAUCAAUUUGAAUAUAUAUCAUAAUUAUUCUCAAGUUAAGAUGGAUAAAUGAUGGACAAAAUCGGCUGUCAGCGUGUUGUAAUGUUCUAUUAAUGUUAAGGCUAAAGUCUUUGUCGUAUUGAUGGAGUUUGUCUUUCAUUGUCGACAAUGGAUGUUUUUUUUCUUUUCCCCAAAUUGUAUGAUCCCAUUUAUGGAAUAAAUUAAUGAAAUUUUCCUUUCAAAUAAUAAUAAUUAAAUGUAGAGGUAGUUGCAUCGGGUGUAACACCCCAAACCCGGCCUGGACGUUAUGAUCGAAUCUGGCGAUGUCACAUGAUAGUGUGUUUGAAAACCGAUGCUCGUGUUGAAAAAACCGUAACUUUGCUUAAAACAUUUUCCGUUUAGAUCUCGUCAUUAUCUUUUAUUAAUCCUAAAAUAGUGAUUUUUAUUCAGUCGUUAGUUUGCAAAAUAUUAUAUGUUGCAGAAGCUUUUUAAAGUAGUUUGUGUCCUUGCGGGUAUUUUGCUAAAACACGUGCAUUUCUUUUAAAAAUCCGUGUUUUAUCUACCUCUAGCAGAUAUAAAACAUAAAGCAAUAUAAAAUCCAAAAUUUAAGCAAAAACUCAUAGCGGCUAUUAUUACAGAAAAAUACCCCAAAUAAAGCUUUAAAAUAAUAAACCUAAUUAAAUACGAAAUAGUAAAAAGGAGUCGUGUGGCCACAGCUGAGUCCUCCGCCGCUCUGAUCCGCCUAAGUCUGGGGAUUACCUGAACAGAUGAAUCAGAAGGGUGAGUUUACGAAAACUCAGUGUGUAAUCCCCACAUAAACAAGCAGACAGCAUGCAAUCAUAGUCUGGGCUUAAGCCCAUUUCAGUAACAGUUUCAGUUUCAGUUAGGGCUUUAGCCCAUUUCAAUACAGAAGCAGUUGUGCAUUUGGGCCUUGGCCCAUUACAGUAUCAAUACUCAGUACAGUGACAGAUAUGCAAUGUCAAAUCCUACCCAACUAGCCUCUACACUCCAGCUCUGUCCAACCCUACACUACAUGUGGGGAUAUAAUCAACCCACCCAUCCCUACACUCUAAAAAGUACCAAAUGCGGCACUGGACAGUAGUUUACAGUUGAGCUGCCAGUAAUUUAGGCUCGAGGCCUUUCAGUACACUUCUUCCGAACAAUAUAACCCAACCCCUAUGCAAUGCAAUAUAUAUAUGACAUGCUAAAACAUAAUAUUGUGCAUAAAAUCAGGGCAUACAGUAUCAAACCAGUGGGACAUCAUCAUGCUUAAUAACAUGCAUAAUCGUAUCAGUCAUACAGUUAUUUCAGUCAAUUAGGGGUCUAGGUAAGCUUAUCGACCCUACAGUAGGUCCACAGUCGACUUGGGCGAUCCAUGUAAACUUAGUAGUCAAACAGUGAAAAUGGGUCGACGGCCCAUGUUGCAUGCCCAUGUGGCCUACACGGCCUAAAAUGGCCUUGGCCGUGUGGAUCUCACGGCUUGGCCCAAUAUUCCUACACGCCCGUGUAGUUCACCUGUGUGGGGCCCACGCACUCGUGUGGUCCACACGACCUAAUUCAGCUCGGCCCAUGAAUCGUACAUGGCCAACCUCGUCGAUCACACGCCCAUAUUCAAUCACACGACCUACCACACAGGCGGCCGCACGCCCGUGUGGCGUCGACAAUCAUAUUUUUUGGCUUUUCACCGAUUUCUGUUUUUAGAGUUGCGUUUACACACCUGGUUUUUAUUCGCUGAGAAGGAAAACACUGAGCCUUUGAAACCUACAUUUGACCAAACAAUCACCAAUUAAUCACUUAUACCCUUACUCUAUCAAAAACACACGAGUUGACCAAGUGUUAACUAGCAACAAUGUUACAUUCAAUCGAGUAAAGAGGGUUCGCCCACUUAAUCACCAAUUAACGAUCCUCCACCCCUCGAAUAACUCCUAGGCACCAACCAAAAUCAGAUAAGCAUUGAUUCAUUAGGAAAUAAGAUAACAAUAUACUAUCUACCUUUACCAACAACGUAAGAAGAGUACCAAUUACAAAGUGCAAGAACUUAUUAGCAAGUAGAGAUUGAUAACCAGAAAGACAGCACAGGAAAAACAGUCAGCUGCAAGGGAAAGAAAAGAAUCGAAAAAAAGAAAUGAAAGGAAAGUAUGAAAAGAGGGGGAAGACUCGGCCAAAGGAAGAGGGGAAUGUUUGCUUACCUUUUUCCGAAUAGUAAAUAUUUUGGAAAGCCAAAAGAAAGAGACCACAAGAACACUAAUUCGGCAGAAAGCAAUAAGAACAGAAUCAACACAAUGAGGGUAGAAAAGGAAAUUGACAAGGAAGAGAAACUAGCAGAAGUUUCAGCAGAGAACUUUCAGAAACCAAAAAAAAAAUUCUGGUAAUGGGGAAACAAAACAACAGAGGGAAAAUUUUAAAAAAUGAAAGAGUGAGGGGAAACUCGAACUUGCAACUACAGUUUGAAUGCUCUCAAACUCCUCACUCCUUAAUUUUCUCACCAUAUCUCUUAAUCCUCUCCCUCAACCACCUAAUUCAAAUUCCACUCAAACUCUUCAGUAUUUCGGCUAAACUAGAACACCCACAUGGGACAAGCAGCAAAAUAAAACACUCCCUUGCACACACCAAGACUCAAACUCAAGACCACCAACACUUUGCCACUCCAUUUAUCCACUAGACCAGCAAGCCCAUUCUAACAUUUUUCACCAACAUUUAUUUAUAAGCCUACUGAUUAGAGAUAAGAGUUUAUUCAUUUAAGAACAAAAAUUUACUCAAACUAAGGGUUGAACUUAGGACCUCCCAAACACUCCCAGAACACUUAACCACUGAAGCAGACAAAUAUUUGUGUCACAAACAUACAAAAAUAAAUAUAUAAAGGAUUUUUGGGGCGUUACAUCGGGUAUCCCCGAACUAUGAUUCUCAUUUUAAUUUGGUUUCCAAACUUCAAAAGCGCUUUUAAUUACAUAUUCAAACUAUCAAUGUUAUAUCAAUCAUGCCUUUCUAUUAUUAAAAUCAUUAAUUUAAUCAGUAAAGGACACUUCAAAUCUUAUGUGACAUAAUUUAAAAUGGAAGUUUUAAAGAAAAGUAAAACAUUACCACAUAAAUUUUUAAAGUUAAAACUAAAAAUAAAGUAAAACCGGAAAAAAGAGAUAGUGAACAAUAAAGCUUUUGUAAAAGUUUCAAAAACCUCAAAAUCAAGAUUUUUACAACAUCCAUUUUUACAAUAUUCAUUUUUAUUUAAAAAUUUCAAUUUAAUCUAUGCCAUAUAAUAUUUGGUAAUUGAUUUAAUGGUUAAAUUAACAAUUUUAGUAAAAGGACCUUAUUGAUAUAACCACAAUAGUUUGAAGAUGUAUUGAGUGUUUUAAAGUUUGGGGACCAAUUUAGAAUAAAGGUUCUAGGUUGAGAAUAUAUGGUAAAAUUAACUCUUAAAUGUAUUAACCUUCUAAAACAAUUGAAGUAUAUUUAAUAUUAUUGAUUUUAUGUGUUUAUUUAUUUAAUUUAUUUUUAUUCAAGAUCUAAACUAUUUUUUAUUUUAGUUUCGUAGAUAUUACAUAUGGGGUAUUAUUAUUAGUUUUAAAACUUACGUUUAAUAUUCUUAAUAUGAUGUAAUUACUUAUUUAAAUUUUAUUUUACUUUCAAUUUAAACUAAUUUUUAUUUUAACUUUGUACAUGUUGCUAUUAGUUUCAAACCUUACGUUUCAUUAUUUAUUAUACAUUAUUUUUUUAACACAUAAGCGUGUUCUAAAUGCACAGUUUCUAUGCACAUACAUGUUCUAGGAUAUUAUAAUCGUAUUUAAAUAUAUCGUGUCUUAUUUAUUAUGUUUUAAAGUUUAUUAAAUGUAUUUUAUUUAUAAUUUUAAAUUAUGUUUAAAGUUGGGUGAAAGUACCUUUAAAGUCCCUAUAUUAUAGAGUUUGGAUCAAAUUAAGCCCUCUAUGAUUAAAUGGAUCAAUUCAAUUAUUCUACGAUUAAAAAGAAUCAAAUAAGGCCAAAUUGGAACAAAUUUAUAAUUUAUUUUUUAAAAAAUGACAUAAAAAUAAAUUUUUUUCAUUUAUAGUUCAUCUUGAAACAAAAAAAAUUCAUCUAUAAAAUCAUAAGAAGCUUUCAAAAUAUAACUUUGUUAAAUAGUAAAUGACAUCUUUUAAACAAUAAAUGUUAAUUAUGUUCCAAUUUGGCCUUAUUCAUUUUUUUUAAUAGUACAAAGACUAAAUUGAUCCAUUUAGUAGUAGAGGGACUAAUUCGAUACGACCCCUAUGAUAGAGGGACCUGCUAGAUACAUUUAGCUUUAAAGUUGUGACUUAGCGAGACUAUUUCGAAAACUAGUAUCCUUUAAAAUAAUGUUUCUAUUCCACGAUCUAACUUGAUUAAUUAGUUAACAUGACCCGUCAACUGAAAAGGGUUGGCAGCCCCUGCCCCUUACAGUGGGAAAAUUUUCAUUUAGGCUCUUUAUAAUUUAUAAAAUUUUAAAUUAGUAAUGAUAAAAUUACACUUAAGCCCCCUUAAAAAUGAUAAAAAAUUGAUUAAUUCUUUAAAAAUUAUAAAGAUAUAGAUUAUUAAAAUGGUGAAAUUACAUUUUUACUAUCAUAAAAUAUACAAUUUAAUUCCGCCCCGAAAAACUUUUCUAUUUCCACCACUGCUUUAUAUUUAAAUUAAUUACUUCCUUUUAAGAGCUUGAACUAGAAUGUCACAUUAUUCUCAAUAUAAUUUUUUUUUUUACUUUUAGAUUUAUAAUAUUUUAUAUUUAAUAGUAUAUUUUAUUUCAAAUGUUUCAUAUUUACACUUCAAAUGUUUCAUAUUCAUACACUUCUCGAUAUAAUCUAUGCCAGCCCAUGAACAACAAUCAACGCUUUGAGGAUUCCAAUUAUCAACCUUAGGGUAAGCACACAAACCAGCAACAAAUGCUUGCUUCUCGAUGAUGCAGCAAAGCAAGACGCUCAUCGCUGUGACAAAGUACUGCAGGCUGCUUGGACAAGAAAGAAAAGGCAGUAAAUUGGAAAGAGUAAUAUUGAAAAGAAAGCAUGCAAAUGCAAAAGAGUAAUAUAUAGAUGUUAAAGUGUAAUAAACGACAAUAGUAGACAAAAUUAGAGUAAAAUUCUUUUUUACUUUGGGGUGCCGGCACCAGAAAUUAAAAAAUAUAUUUUUUUAUUGUAAAAGGGUUGUUGACUACUUAAGUGCCGACAUUAAAAAAUAAAAAAAAUAAAAAAAGGGUGUCGAUCAUCUGCUACACGGUAACACGACACCAAAAAAUAAUUUUUUUUUAAAACCUAGUAUUACACGUAUUAUAUAAAAUACUUAUGAAAAAAAUACACAUGAGUGUCGACCAUUGCACUGUCGACACCCAAAAAAAUAUUUUUUUUAAUCACAAUUCCAAUCAUCAUGUUGUUAUUUGGGGAUUGGGGACAUGGGUGUCGGCCAUGAGGGUGCCAUAACCCUAGGACAUUUUUCCUUUCAAGUUAUUCCCGUAAAUGUUUUUGAACCAAAGUAUUUUUAUAAAUGUUUAAUUGUUUUGGGUUAUUUUAUCAAAAUAACCCAUUUUUGUGGAACCAUGUAAGAAACACAGAAGGCAAAAAAGGAACAACAAAAUCCCAUUGCACAUAGAAUAUUUUACCAAACUAACCCAAAACAAUUAAAUAUUUAUAAAAAUAGCUCAAGUUCUAAAAUAUUUACAAGACUAACUUGAAAGCAACAUUGUCUGGGGGUUAUGGCACCCUCAUGGCCGGCACCAAUGUCAUCAAUCCUUAAAAUUUUUUUUAAGGUGUCGACUGACACCUAUAUGUAUUUUUUCACCCGUAUUUUGUACAAUACAUAUAAUAUCCUUAUUUUUAAAUUUUUUGGUGCCGGCACUAUGUUGGUCAGUACUCGUUUUUAGUAAAAAACUGUGAUAAGCUUGCAAGAGAGAUUUUAUUAGAUAAAGCAAAGAUUGAUCGAAUGAAAAGGACUAAAAUACCAAAAGACGCAAUUUUUAGAAAAAAAAUUACAUAAAUAGGCUGAAAUUUUGAAAAUUUACAGGAAUAGGCCGAUUUUUGUAAAAUGCUUGCGUUUUCAGGGGAAACCCAAAAAAAUGCUUCCAAAAGCGUCUUUAGUAUAUUGACAGAAAAACGCUUCCAGCUGAAAGAUUUUUGCCACAUCAACACUAAAAGUGGAAGCACCAAUUUUUUUAUUUAUUUUGGUGCCACCUAUUAAUGUGAAAAUAAAACUUACAAAACAUGCAUUUAUAUAGACCCAAAGUCUCAUUUCCCCUUUUUUUAAAGCAAUGUGAGAUAUGAGACAUGUGUAUAUAUAGACUCAUGAAUAGAUUUGCAGCUUAUUCCUAAAUUGUGAUAUAUAUAGAUAAUGUGUAUAUAUAGAAUCAUGAAUAGGGGUCUUCCACCACUUUGCCUAAAUUAUUAUUUUAUUUAGAUAAAAACUCAAAUUAUUUAAUUUAAAUCUUUUUUUUUCACCAAUUUUUGAGUAUCACAGUUCCAAAUUGUUUAAAAUAAUAUGUAUGGACAAAAGCAAAGAUAGUAGGAGGGCCAUACUCUUCCAAAUUCUUUAGGAUUUGGAGUAGCAUGGCCCUCCUACUAUCUUUGUUUUUGUCCAUACAUAUUAUUAUUAUUUUGUUAAAAUAGAUUGAAGUCUCUGUAUUCUUGAUAAGUUUGGAAUUUAGGCCUUUUAUUUUUAUUUCAAAUAAUUUAGUUUCUCUAUUUUUUUAAUUUAAAAAUACAAGUCUAAUUGUUAACAUUGUUAAAAUCAUUUUGUUAAAUUUAUUGGUGUGACUACGUGACACCUUAUACCCAACCCAGUUGUUGGAUCCGAAUAUAAAAUGCCACAUUCCAUUGUCGAAGCAACUUACUUUUCUAUUUUACUCUUUUUUUUAAAAGGAAACGUAGUGGUAAAAUUAUUUUACAAAAAUUUCGGCAACAUUUCUACCUAUUUUGCAUAAAACCCAUUGCAAAAUUUAGAUUUCACAAAAUAUCCACAUUCAAAUAAUCUCCCAAAUCAAUUCGCAAAACUUUGAUUUCUCAAAACAUAUCCAUAAACUAGAUUUCUACGCUUUACUGUUUCAUCAAAACAUUAGUUAUAAAGUACUAGCAAAGAAAAUAUAAUAAAAAUAUUUAAAUUUUGUUUACGACAUAAUAUUAUAUAUAUACAAGCCUAGGUACAUGCCAUUUACAUCAAUUAUAAAGUAAACUUUUCACCAACAUUAUUUGAGCCGAGCUUCGGUUCUUCGGAUGCUGCUGGAACGACCUAACGAAUCUAACUACCUGCGCAUGGAAAAAUAGACAAAUUGUACGCUGAGCAAUUUUUAUGCUCAGUGAUGCUAAUAUCAUAUAAAUUAUUACAUAAGUAUUGAACAUAAAUUAAUUGAUAGAAAUAAAUUAAAACAUAAUUAUAAAUAUCAUUAAAACAUAAUUAUAAAUAUCAUUAAUAACAUCACAAUAAAAGAAAAUUUUAAUAUUAAUAAACUUUAAUAUUACGAUAUUGACAAAUCGAAUAAAGAAAAUAAGUUUUUUUAAUCUAAUUCAAAAUCGUGUAAUUAAUUUAAUUCGCACAAUAUGGAAAUUUAAAUAAAUUCAACUUGUGUUUUUACUUUUCUUUCAAUUUAGACACUGUCCUAAAGUUUAGUGACAAGUGAUAAUAGUAACAUGCUUUAAUCUCGUUCUUAAUGCAUUUUUGGAUGAUUAUUUGAUGUAAAAUAGUGAAUAUUAUGUUCCUAAUCCUUUAAAUUCAUGUUUCUAUACUUAGGAGAGCAUUUGGGAGCAAAAGGAGUGAAAAACGAACGAAAAUCGAAAAAUUGGAGCAAGGUAAAUGAGCCACACCGGCUGGGCACACGGUUGUGUGAGCCAUAUGGGCAUGUGCUAAAUUGUGUGGAAAUUGUGAACUGCACUCCGGAAACGUAAAAAAACAUAAUUUUAAGGUUUUUGGGCAUUCUAAGACCUAUAUAUGACAAAGAUAAGAAGAGAUGAGGGAACUAUCAUAGAAUACUGAAGAAAACAACUCGAAAAAUGCCAUUGAAGCUGACUCUGAAGCAGAUUUUCAUCAAGAUUGAAGAUCUCCUUUUGAUUUCUUUGAAGUUUAUUAUAAGUUUCUUUGUUUCUUGUGGUUAUAUUGCUUUUGGGAUGUUUUUAUUUGCUAUCAUAAACUAAUUUUCCAAAUACCUAGGGAGAUGAACUCUAGGAUGGAUUAUAUUAUUUGAUAUCUAUUUUUUACGCAAGAAAUACUUGAAUCUUGUUCUCAUUUAUGUGUGCUUAAUUCUUGGUUUAAUAUUUCUAGACUAUUAAUCUAUGUUUGAUGUGCUUAAAUCAGAGGGCAAAUAGACCUUAUUUAAGAGUAGAUCUACCGUAAUUGAGUGGAGUUGCAUGUAAUCCUAGAAAUAGGACGACAUAAAUCUACCGGAUUAGAGUAAAAUCUAAUAGGGGGUCCUUAAAUCAAGUUAAUGCGAUAAUAUGAGUUUUAAUUAGAAAAAAAAUUCAAUUAAUCAACCUAGAGUCAGUUGCUCUUACUCUCGAAAGAGAUAUUAGCAUAAUUUAGGGAUUUCUACGGAUCAAUAUACUAAGUGAAGAAAUUGUUUAAUUCAGAUUGAUAAUGACAGAUGAAAUCUAGGUGAAUUCUUUCGUCGGUAUUGUUUCGCUUUUUGGUUGUUAAUCGUUUGUUUUCUUGAUUCGUUUUUUGUCGUGUUCUUUAGUUAGUUAAUUUAGUUAAUUUUAGUUUUAAUCAAUCUCUCCAAUUUGUCAGUUAAAUAAUAGUAAGAAAGUAAUCACUAGUAAUUUUAGUCCUUUUGGGAAUAAUAUCUUUUCUCAUUGUAGCUAUAAUAUUAAUUGAUAGGUGCACUUACCGUUGCCCGGAAGUGAAAUAUUAGGAAAACUUUAUUUCUAUUAAUUUAGCUUUUUUUAUUUUUAUUUUAAUAUUUUUGUUUUUAACUUAAUUUUGAUAUUAUAUUUUUUUGUUUGUUUGAUUUUAACAGGUUCUUUUGGUUUAUGACUAGAGGAAACCCGUUGGAUCCAUUACUUUUUGACAAUGAGACUGAAAAGACUGUUUGUAGAAAUCGUAAAGAGGUUAGGGAAGUAGGUAAAAUCAACAGAAUUUAGUAGACGAUCAAGAGGAAAAUAAUAUUACUGUGGAGAUGGGUGAUAAUCACAAUAAUCAGCUACCUCCUGCAAAAUCAUGAUCCUCGUACUAGGUAUUGUUACGCUAAACUUACUCUGAUUGGGGCUGAUUUGAGUAUUGUGAGACCCACCAUUACUGCAAACAAUUUGAGCUGAAGGCAAACACAAUUCAGAUGGUACAAUAGUAUGUUUAGUUUGACAGUUUGCAAGAUGAAGAUCUGAAUACUCAUUUGACUAACUUUCUAGAGAUUUGUGACACUUUCAAAUUAAUGGUGCUAAUAAUGACGCCAUACACUCACGGUUCUUCCCAUUCUCUUUGAGGAGCAAGACAAAAUGGUGGCUGAAUUCAUUGCCACGAGGUUCUAUCACUACCUAGGCGCAAAUGACUGAAAAAAUUCAGUUGAAGUAUUUUCCAACAGUUAAAACAACUAAGUUGAGGAAUGAUAUCUUUUCUUUUGCUCAAAUUGAUUUGGUGACAUUAUAUGAUGCAUGAGAGAGAUUUAAGGAUCUGUUGAGAAGGUGCCUCAUCAGGGGUUACCUUUAUGGUUGCAAGUUCAAACCUUUUACAACGGUUUGCAUCCCUCGACUAGACAACUAAUUGAUGCAGUAGUUGGUGGAACACUGAAUAAUAAAACACCCGAGACAGCUCAAGAGUUUAUUGAGGAGAUGAAAUUGAAUAACAAUCAAUGACAAGUAAUGAAAACAAAAUUGAUUAAAGCAGCUGGUAUUUUUAACAUCGAGAGAUUAAUAAGUUAUUCACAGAAUCUUUUCAUGAAUGAUUAAGCCAAACGAUAUGCAAUUGAAGCUUUCAUUGACAAAUAAAAAUGUUUUCUCAUAACAUUUAUAAUUACUCAAUUUACUUUCGAUUCAAUAGAUUUGGAGUGGGAAGGACGUCAAUGACGAAAUUAAAUGGCUUUCCCAAGGUUCGAAUAGAGUAGUAAAAAGAUAUAGUGCCUUCCUUAUUAAUGGAUUCAGAUUUUAUACAAAAUAUCGCAAGAGAUUGAGGAGAACUCAAAAUUGUGGAAUAGUUGUUAAUUCUUCAAUUACAAGUUAUGCUAGUGCUUGGGACAGUUGUUGAGAGAAAUGUGGAGUAUUAUGGAUUUCUUACUGACAUUUUUGAGCUGGAUUACCAUGGCAAAUGGAAAGUUGUCUUAUUUCGGUGUGAUUGGGCUUAUGUUAAGACUACUCGCGGAAUUAAAACAGAUCAAUUUGGUUUUACAAUGGUGAACUAAUCUCGAUUGAUUCACACUGGACAACAAUUAAUAGAUAAACCGUAUGUAUUUUUUUCUUAAGUGAAACAAGUUCUUUACAAGAAAGAUUCAACUGAUGAGGGUUGGUACGUUGUACUCCGUAACACCCCUAGAGACUUGUUUGACAUGGGCAAUGGAAAUAGAGAUGACAUCGAUGAAAGAUCAGAAACUUUGCCUUUUCCAGAACAAAACUUAAAUGAAAAUAUCCCUAGUACUAGUACACAAUUUCAAUGGGUUCGCCAGGAUGUUGAUGAAGAUAUUUACGAAUUAUGAUGUAGUAAGAUUUUAUGAUUUUUUAAUUAUAUGUAAUAUCAUAAUUUAAAUCUUGGUCUUGUUAAACAUUUCAACUAUUUUAUAUGUACUAUUAUUGUUGUAAUUAGUUACUAAAAUUUCAACUAUUUUAUGUGUAUUGCAGAUAAAAUGCCUAGAAGAAGAUUGCGAGAUCUAAGUAUUGUUCAAAAUACUCCAAAUUCGGAAGAAACAAAUAGUGAACAACAGACUGCUAUUGGAUCUUCGAAUGUUUCGAAUACACCUGACGAACCUGCAGAAAUUCAAAGUAAUGUUAAAUUUAAUUUACAUGCGUGUUGACUUUUAUUAUUAAUUUCUUUUUCAAAUUCUUAUAUUAUAAUAUACCAUUUUUCAGCUGAAAGUGGUGGGAUGCGCAAAGGUUGAAGACGUACACUACUUAAAGAUUUAUACGAGUUAAAUCUUGUCGAGCGUGUCAAAAUAUCUAGAAAUAAUCUUGGUCAGCUUGUUGGAUCAGAAGCUUAAAUUUGAGCAGGAUAUUUGGGCAUUAUAGCAUGAAAUGCCAAUAUGUUGCCUACCAACUACGAGUCAUGGCAUCAAAUGCCUGAUAGUAACAAAAACGAAGCUCUCGAUAAUAUUAAGGUAACAAAACGUGAAUGUAAUUUAUAAUACUUUGGUUUAAGUUUUAUUUAUAUUUACUUUCUAAACUUGUGUUUUUUGUAGGAGAGGUUUGCUUCAGAUAAUUAUGUCAAGAAGGCCUUGGGAAAAAAUGGAGACCAUAAAAGUACUUUAAAGAAAGAAUUUUUUUUUAAAAUAUAAGCCUCGAAGAGAAAUUGCGAAAUGUCCCGCCGGGAAUGUUGAGGUACCAAUGGGAAGAUGUGGUUAGAUUUUGGAAUUCAAAGAAAUGAGAGGUAUUACGUACUUCCAAACUCUUAUAAUUAUUUCAGUUUAUAGUACUUACUAUAUACGUAAUAAUAAUUUCAUAAUGUAGGAUCGUGAACGAGUUGGAACAAGCAGGAGGCAAAAACAGAAAUUCACUCACACAGCUGGGUCAAAAAAUUAUGCUUGUGUAGCUGAGGCCGAGGUAUUUUGAAUUUAUUAAUUGUUUCAAAUAUUUAUUACUUUCUAUUAAAUAAUAUUUUUACUACUAUAUUAUAGGAACUAUCAUCUGGUCAAAAAGUUGGACGCCUUCAGCUUUUUGACAUUACACAUAGGAAGAAAGAUGGAUCUCCUAUGACUUCUGAAGCUGCAGAAAUUAUGGUAUGUUUACUUAAUAAAAUUUGAAUUAUUUUAAAUAUUUAUAUGGUUUAAUUAUAAAGGUUUAAUUUGUCGUUUGUAAUGCAAAUAAUGUUAAGUUAUGUUGCAUUUGUUUUUAUUAUAUAUUUUGUUUCUAGCUCUUUGAUUGAUUUAUUAGGAGAAACUAAAGGAUAAAAAGGCGGAGUAUGAAGCGAUUGCUCCGAGUGAUAGUUCUGUUAAUGUCGAAGACAUUGAUAACUGGAUUAUUACUGAAGUUUUGGGUCCUGAAAGGUAUGGUCGGGUUCGAUUUCAAGGAUAUUUUGUUAACCCAACCGGAUAUUUUGGAUCCAACUCGCAAUAAUACAUGCCUUCAGAGAGUCAGCCUCAAGCUAAAGUUCAGAGGUUAAGAGACCAGAUGGCUCAGAUGCAAGAGAGAACAGUUGAGCAAAUUGCUCAACUUAAACCGGAGGCAACAUCGAGAGAAGCUGUGGUUCAAAAAAAAUAUGAAAAACUCCAGCUACAAAGUAAAGCGGAGGCAGUAGCGAGGGAAGCAGAGCAAAGCAGAAAGUACGACGCACUCCAGCUACAGCUUCAGAAUAUGAUGAAGAUGUUUCAGCAGUUGCAAAAUCCUCCAUCUUAGACAUUUGUUUUCUUAUUGUAAGAAUAUUUUUAACAUUGUAACUUUUAACAUUAUUGUAAGAAUAUUUUGAAUUAUACUUCAGUUAUCAAUUUAUAUCAUAUAUAUUUCGUUGAAUUUGAAGUAUCAUUUAAAUUUACUGUUUUUGGUUGGAUUUCAUGCUACAGGAAGGGUUGUAUAUGGAUGAAAAUUGAAUGUUACAAAUCUGCCAAAGUUAGUGGCAUUUUUUCAUAAACGCCGCUAAAGAACGAUGCUUUUAGCGACGUUUGUGAAAAAAAACCCGCUAAAAGUCAUUCUCUAUAGAGACGUUUGUGAUAAAAGCGCCACUAAAGGUUAUGCUCUUUAGCGGUGUUUGUGAUAAAAGCGCCGCUAAAGGUUAUUUUCUUUAACGACGUUUGUGAUAAAAGCGCCACUAAAGGUCAAGUUCUUUAGCAGUGUUUGUGAUAAAAGCGCCGUUAAAGGUCAUGUUCUUUAGCCGCUUAAAAGCGCUGCUAUAGGCCUAAAAAAAGCCGCUAAAAGCCUGUUUUGCUGCAGUGAAUUAGUUACAGAGUUUUUGAGCGAGAAAAAGAAAAAGAAAAAGAAAACAAAGAUAGGGGAGAUGAGGAAAUUGUUCAAGACGCUCUUGAAGCUAAUAUUCAUUUUGCCAAUACCCUGUAAUUUUUUUCUUUUUUUUUCCUUCCUUGAUUUUUUAUAGAUGUAUAUCAUGUGUUUUUUUCUUUUUGUAGAUAGAAAGGGAUUUCAAUUUUAGGUUGGGAUUUAUCUGCAAAGACUACAAUAUUUUUCUAUUCGCUAAUUGCUCUAUCAAUGCAUCAAUGAUUUCCCUUUGGAUUUUCUCUUAAUUUGGGGUUUCUUUUGUUUUGGUAAGUUUAAAAUUUCAUUUUAUCUUUUUUUUUUGUUUGUUUUGGGUUUGAAGUUAAAUUUUAACAAUAAUAAAGUUCAUUACUUUACUGCUUGAAUUUACUUGUUUGCAUAUUUGUUAGAAUGAGAACCGGAUCCAAAGGUCAAAUGUGUUCUGGUUGAGGGAAGCUCAUCGCGUGCGUUUUGUGUAAGUACUUGAAGAAAUAUUAAGCCUUCUUCUUUAGUUGGGAAAAGAUACUUGUACAUAUCAUUUCAUGUUUGUAAUGAAAAAUGUGUAUAGAUAUCAUUCUAGGCUAUGUUUUGUUUUACUAGUGUUAAGGGAGUUUUGGGGGCUAACUAUUCACGAGUAUCACACGAAUGGAUAUUAAAUGUGUUGUUGCUAAAAUCCAGAAGGACAGAAACACUCCUCUUGUGCCAAAGGUUUUUCUUUUUCCUUUCCAUUUGUAAAUGCAUACUAUCUAAACUGCAAACUUCUUGUGCUUAGUUGUUUUUCUCUGUUAUAAAUAUCACAAACAUUUGCAAUUUGCUAAAAUUAAGCAAACAUCUGUAAAUGCAUACUAUCUGAUCAAGCAUUUUCACUUUUACCAUCUUUUAUGGAUGCGUUCCCCAUUGAUUUUUGCUUCUUGAUAUGCCAGUAAUAUUUAUUAUAAUUCAAACCCAGUAUGUAGAAAAUAAAAAAAUAUAAACAAUAAUUUCUAGUGAGAUGUGUAAAUGCAUAAUAUGUAUGUAUUAUUAGUAAUUACCUUGCCUAAAAUGAAAUUUAGUAGCAAGUUUGUGUUACAUACACUUUAAGUAUUGUAUUGAAGGGUAAAGGAUGCUGAGGCAUGCAUAUCUUAUUGACUAUUAAGUUCAGCUCAUCAUAUGCUGUGGAAAUAUAUUAAUAUGUUUCUACUGUGGAAAUAUAACUCAUGGUUCAUGCUCAAUAUCAUUUCAGGUUCAAGAUAGUUUCUUUGAAGCAGUUGUUGCUGCUGCACCUUGCCUCUUCUUUUUUUGAUGAAUUUGAUUCCAUUACCCUUAAAAGAUGACAUGACAACAUUGGAGUAACUGUUCGAGUUGUCAACCAAGUUAGUAUCUUUUUGCUUGCUGCAUUUUAUUAUUUUGCCUUAACUUUUGAUGUCUUUCUUAUUGUUAUUUUGCUUUCAAACAAUUCCUAACUAAAUUAGAUGGUUUUGAAGUUUUGACUAAUGUAUUUGUGUUUGUUGCAACAAGGUUAGUUCUCAUGGAAUCCUAUUGUAUUAUUUUGAUAGUAUCUAUCCUUAAUCUACGAUUAAUCCCCACAAUGUUGAGUUUGACUCGUUAUUAUCUUCACGUGAUCGAUUUUGACAUGAGAUGCAUACCCAAAUAAGAUAGUUUUUCAAGUAGCACAAAAUUUUUAAAAGAGAAUACAUUUCUUGAUUUCAAGGUUUUCCAUAAAUAUAUGAGUUUCUUAUUUCAUGGUUUUUCCUUAUGAGUUGCAUAGCUAUAAUAAAAAUUUACUUGAAUUCUUCUAUAAGCAGUAGACCAGUUUUGCUUGAUGCUGCAUUGCUGAGACUAGGUAGGCUUAAUCGCCUCCGUUUAUGUGAUUUUCCAUCUCCGCGUGAAAGGUUGGAUAUUCUAACCUUUCUUUCAAGAAAGGUUAGUGAUAUUGUUUUUAUGCCUCAGUUUUCUACGCUCUCUUUUAUUUUUUUUUGUUUCAUCACAGAAAUCGGAGGUAUAAAACUCUUCUUCAAGUCUCUUUUAUUUUUUUUGAUUGUUUAUUUGUAUGGUUGAUUAUUUUUUGUUUGUGUUCAAUGGAUAUUUGUAUUGAUUCUGUAACUUCUGUGUGUAGGGGAACCUACCAGUCGUAUUGCAGGUCUCUUUUUGAGGAUCCUUUGCUAGAAUGCUUUGAGCUCGUUGAUGAUUUCAAUUUUCAAGGUUUGUGGAUUAUCUUUCUCUAUGUUUUAUAAUUUGACAUUGGUCAUGACUCGAAUGCAUUAAAUUGGCUUUGGAUAGGUUAUUUUGUAUGGUAUGAGUUAUUGAAUUACUUCAUUAAAGAACUCUAUAAGGGGAGGGUGUCAUAAUUUGAUAGAAAUGUGCUUCUUUAUUUCAUGUUGUUUUCUAUGUAUGUUAAGACAUUUGAUGUUGUUCAACUUGUUUUAGAGGAGUUUGGUCAAAGCAUCGGUGAAAUUUUUUAGAAUUUUGAUGUAAAUCCUCUUGGUUCUGCAUCAAUCGCACAAGUAUUACUUUUUCAUUUCUUUACCUGGCUUGAAGUUUUAUAUGAGCAUGCUGGGAAGGGUAUAGGUUUAUGUAUUUAAACAUAUAAAAUCUUUGAAGGCUAAACAUUUAUAUUAAAUAAGCUUCAUGCUUGCCAACAUACAAUAGGAUAUGACACAUUUGCUGUUUUAAUGCUACCAUAAAGUUUAACAGUUUUGUGGGCUUCUCGGGUUCCAAAAAUAGGAUAAUGCUUACAAGAACCGAGUGGAUAUACCUUAACAUAUGUUCGUAUCUGAAUUAGAUUUAUCAAGUAGGAUUGAGAAGUGAUAAGAUCGAUGUUGUUGUUAAGGUAAGUACCUUUGAAAAUGAUUUUAAAACCUCAUAUGUCUAUGUGAUUUUGACCAUUCAAGUUUAUGGCAGGUGCAACAUCCGGGAAUCCAGGAUCUUAUGAUAACUGACAUCUGUAACUUGCAAGCAUUUGCACUAUAUAUUCAGAAGAAUGAUAUCAAAAAUAGGUAUAUGUAUUCACACUGAUGUUCCUUGCAAAACACAUCUAUCCUUCUUUUAUGUAUUUUUCAGAUUAUGUAAAUUGAGAGUAUCGUUCCACUUGGAUUUGGAUUUCUUUUUUGUUCUGCAUGUCGUUAAUUAUUUAUCCUUUGUGCUAAUUAUUUAUCCUUUGUGUUGUCAAGAUCGGAUAUGAGUUUGACUUUCUAAGAGAAGCCAAUGCUAUGGAGAGAAUUUGCUAUUUCUUAUACGAGAAUAACAUAAAGAACUAUAAGUUUUUUAAUAACAUAAAAUGAGGAAUGGCUUUUGAGACAGGGAUUACGAAUCUCAGCUCCUUCUGUAUUUAUGUCGAGUUUUCUUCAUGUUUUUGAAUAACAUGAACUGAGUUUUUAAAUGACAUAAAAUCAAGGACUAUGGUUUUUGAAUAAUAAAGGACUAUGACUUUUGAUUUUUUAUUUCACAUAUGAAAAGAACUAAUGUUACUAAAAUUUAGUAAUUUUUAUGUAAAAUUUGAAGGUUUUUAUUUCACCAAAAGAUUGCUAUAAAUAAUUAAUUUGUUAAAGAGUAUACCUUAUAAUGAAUUGUUGUUAUCAUGUUAUUAUAAAGGAUAAAAUAAAAUAUUAAAAAAAUAUGUUUUCUAUUAAAAUUGACUAUUAAAAUAAAAUGUUAUUAGAGGAUUAUAAUAUCGUAUGUUAAACUCAUUUUUAUAUUGGCGACUGUGACCUAAGAGAACAGGUGAGAGGCUAGAUUAAAGCAAAUAUAUUAGGCAAUGAAAUAUUCUUAAUAAUAAUUUUAUAUUAAAAUUAUUAUUAAAUAUUAUUAAUAAUUAUAUUAAGAAUGUUAUUAAAUUAUAUAUUAUUUUAUUAAAUUGUAUUUAAUAAUAAUUAUGUUAAAAUAUGAUUAAAUUAUUUAUUUUUAUUUUUAUUAAAAUAUAUUUAACAAUAAUCAUAUUAAAAUUUAAUAACAAUAAUCAUCUACCUACAAAAAUUCUGUUAAGGGUACUUUGGUUAUUUAAGCCUUUUUCCUUAUACUAUUACAACAUCUAUUCCAUUCAACCAAACAUAAGAAUUCUAUUACAACUUUACUGCAUUCCAUUCAACCAAACAAUUGAAUUACUGAUUACAACUAUAUUCCAUUACAACUCUAUUUUUUUACAGCUCUAUUCAAUUACAAUUUAAUUCCAUUACAGUGAACCAAACGUACCGUUAGAGAUAUCAUGCAACGAAUUACAAUAGUUUUACAACUAAACAAAACUCGAAAAAUUGGAGAUAUCAUCUCAAUUUAACACACUAUAAUAAUAAAUAUAGAUAACUAAUCAAAAUCCAUUAAAGAUUUAGAGAUAAAAUAUUCAUACCUGAAACUACUAACCAAAUCCGAUCUCUUAUAAUAAACUCCUUAAAUGGAGCAAUAAUUGCCGUCAGCUUUAUCUUGUUUAUCUCUAUCCCCUCACUUUCUGUAUAUAAACGUCACAAGUUAGGAAGGAAUAAUCAUACAUGGUAUCUUCAAUUUUCACUAGCUACUUGACUUCUUUGCUUAAUUAUUAUUUGCAGAAAGAUGAGUUCAAUUAAAUCGCAUGCAGUAUGUCUUCCAUUCCCAGCACAAGGUCAUAUUAACCCCAUGAUGCAACUGGCCAAGCUCUUGCACUCUAGAGGCUUCUAUAUAACCUUUGUCAACUCCGAGUUCAAUCAUAGACGGUUGAUACGGUCUAGAGGGGAAGAAGCUGUUAAGGGCCUGCCUGAUUUCCGGUACGAAGCCAUACCCGAUGGGCUGCCACCUUCCGAUUCCGAUGCGGCUCAGUGCGUUCCAGCAAUAUGCGAUUCCACACGAAAAAAUUGUUUGACUCCAUUCUUGGAGCUACUAUCUAAGCUUAAUUCAUCACCCCAACUGCCCCCUGUUACUUGCAUAGUUUGUGAUGGAAUCAUGAACUGUGGUACCAAGGCAGCUCAACUCAUUGGGGUGCCUUAUGUUCAACUCUGGACUUCUUCAACCGUUAGCUUUCUGGGAUUUCUGCACUACAAAGAACUAGCUCAAAGAGGCAUUGUUCCAUUCAAAGGUUACAAAUUUUAUGUUUUCUUUGUGCUUUAUGUUCAUUCAUAAUAAUCACUUUGAGGUUCUAUGUGUUACACGCACGUCCAUGCAUAUUCUUUUGCAUAUUGAAACAAAGAUAUGCUUUUUAUUUUCCUUGUAGAUGAAGGCUUUGUUAGUGAUGGGACACUUGAGAUGCCCAUUGAUUGGAUCCCUGGUAUGCCUAACAUGCGCCUCAAGGACCUUCCAAGCCUCAUAAGAACCACCGACCCCGAAGACACCAUGUUUAAUUACGUCAUGGAAGUAUCACAAGAAUGCUUAAAUUCAUCUUCAAUAAUCUUCAACACAUUCGAUGAGUUCGAUAAAGAAGUGCUACAAGUAAUUGCUUCCAAGUCCCCUAAUAUUUAUGCAAUUGGUCCACUCACCUCCCUAAGUAGGAACCUACAUAACUCACUAAAUUCAAGCCUAUGGAAGGAGGAUACAAGUUGCAUCGAAUGGCUUAACACAAUGAAACCCAAGUCGGUGGUGUAUGUGAAUUAUGGGAGUGUAACAGUGAUGUCGAACCAUCAUUUGGAAGAAUUUGCUUGGGGACUUGCAAAUAGUAAAUACCCGUUUUUAUGGGUAGUUAGGCCUGACGUUGUGAUGGGAGAAUCGGCUGUUUUUCCAAGAGAAUUCAUGGAGGCAAUAAAAGGAAGGGGCCUCAUAACAAGCUGGUGUCCCCAACAACAAGUGUUGUCCCACCCAGCGGUUGGCGUUUUCUUGACACACUGCGGAUGGAAUUCUUUGUUGGAAGCUGUAUCCGAAGGUGUGCCUUUAAUUUGUUGGCCUUUUUUUGGUGAUCAACAAACGAAUUGUCGAUAUUCGUGCACCACAUGGGACAAUGGAAUGGAAAUCAACCCUGACGUAAAGCGUAAGGAUGUGGAGGCUCUUAUUAAAGAGAUAAUGGCAGGAGAUAAUGGGCAAAGGAUAAGACAAAAGGCAUUGGAAUGGAAGAAAAAAGCUAAAUCUGCCAUUAGCGUUGGAGGAUCUUCUAUUACCAACUUUGAUAGAAUGAUCAAGGAGGCCCUACGUCAAGGUUGAACAUUAAAAUCAGAAUACUGUUGUGUUGUAUGUUUUGUGUAUGUUUUUCUUAAUUUUAUAUUACAUUAUUAAAUAAAUGGGUUAGCAUUUGAUAAAUCAAUAUUAUACUUUUUUUAAUUCCACAAGUAAACUUAAAAAAAUUGUUAUGUAUUUGGUUUAUUUUAUAAAUUUAUUUUUUAAUAUUUUACUAUAGGUUAUAGGAUACUUAUCAUUACUCUAAACCUACUUCUAAAGUCCAACAACCCAAUUAACCCUGUACAAAAUAUCUCCUUAAAUAUAAAUACAAAAUAAAUUAUCAAAUGUCAAGAUGAAUCCAAAAAAAUUAAAUUUCUUAAAGUCUCAUGCCCAAAAUCUCAUUACCAAAUAUCAUAAUUUAAAUACAAGACAUUUCACCUUCUAUAACUAUUGUUAGGAAAAUCAAGGAAAUAUCUUGUCAGGUUCUAACAGUCAAGUUCCAAUUCGUGAAUAGGGAACGGAAUAAGGUUGCUAAUUGACUAGUCAAAUAAUGUCUUCCUAAUAUGUCAAUUUAUUUAUGUUGAUGUUCUUACACCUUAUGUGAGGAGACUAUUUUUAGAAGACAUAUUAGGUGAUUCUCAUGUAUAAAUAAUUUGAUUUAAAAUAUUGUAUUGCUUUCUCUUAUCUAUAAAAAGAAUAUAAGACAUUUAAUAAAUAUAUCAUUCUAUAUUAAACAUAUUAUAAUGUUUAUUGAAAAGUAUUAUUUUUUAAUAUAAUGUGCCAAAUUGUAGAUCAUAAUGGGAUUUCCUUUGUCGUUUCACCUGUUACUUUUAUUGCCUCACUUUUAUUUUUUAUUUGUCUUCUUUUUCUUUGUUUUUCUUUUGGGUCAAAGAAGAAACCAAACAUCAUAAAGUUCUCUGUAGAGAGAAAAACAGAUACAAAAAAAUAUAUAUAAUAAAUCUAUUGUAUUAUAUUAAAUGUAUUGAAUUUGUUGGGAAGGCGAUCUUAGCCCUUGGAGAGAGGUUUUAAAGUGUUAUUUAUCGGAUAAUUAACUGAAAUUUUAACAAUAGUAAAUAUUAUUUUUGUGCAGUAGUUUUGUUUUUUUCUCCUCCGAGACUCUUGAAAAAUACAAGAGUGAACACCUCAAAUUGGUAGAGAUACAACUUGUUUGUAGUUUGAGUCCUCCAACUCUCAAGUAUAUUUUAUAAUUAAUAUUACGCAUUGAUAAUUAUCCCGUGAGCAUUGCAAGUUGUAUUUUCACCAAAUGGGGUGUUCUCCUUUUAUAAACUCUUUAGGAUCUUUGAUAGAGGCGAAAGACGAAACCUUACUGAGAAUAUUACUAACCAUUAUUGAAAAUUUAACUAUAUAUGCCUAACAAGUGAUACUUGGAAUACUUUUUUCGAAAAAGUUAAAAAGGUUGUUCAACAAUAUUGAAUUUAAAGAUACUCUAUAAUAGGAUGAAAAAUAAUAGUUAUAAUGUUUUUAUCUAUAUUGUUUUUAUCCCUCAACAAAUUAUAUGUAUUUCACCACGUAGGGAGGUUUGAUAAUGGGUAGCUCAUGAACUUGCAAGGGUUGGAAUGGGUAUGGAAGGGACUCUCUGUUGAGCUCCAUUUUGCUUUUGGUAAUAGCAACACAUUGUUUGAUGUAACGUUUUACCAAUAUUAAUGAAUUUAUUUCUUUUAAUAGUAAUAAGGCUAAAUUACACUAGUAAUCACUUAAGUAAUAGUAAAUUUUUUGUCAUUCAAUUAUAAAAAGUUACAAAAUUAACAUGAUAACAACUUUAAUCCUCAACAUUUAUAAAUUAUGUCCAUUUAGUCUUUAUUUUAAAAAAAUUUAACCCUAAACAACACAUUGUGUAAUUUGAUCUCUUUUUUAUUAAUUUUUUGUAAUUUUGUGACAUUAAGGUUUAAUUUUAAAAUAAUAAGAUUGUUGUAACAAGUAUUACACACAUACAUAUAUUUCCAUCGAGGUUAUAACUUUUUAAUGAGUUUCUUAUUUGCUCGUUUAUGAAUUUAUGAACCUUUAUGUAUUAGCAUAAGUAAAUUUUAAGACAAAAAAAAAAAGGUAAAAAGACCGCUCCAGUCAUCAAUUUCAAUAUUGAGUAAAUUGGUCUCUUUAAAAAAAUUGAAGCAAUUUAAUCAUUGUGAAUUUCAAAAGUAAACAACUAAGGAUAAUUUAAAAUUUUUUAUUGCCAAUACGAGAAGGGAUUGUAUGAACUGUGAUUUCCUUAUAUUUAUCUAAUUGCAUAAUGAUAAAUUAGAUUUUUUCUCUUGAUUUUUAAUUUUUUUCUUCCUAAUAAAAAUCAAAUCCAAUUAAAAAUGCUAAAAAUCAAGAAAAAAAAUCUAAUUUAUAAUUCUCCUAUUGAAAAGAGAUAAAGAUGACAUGAAAUCACAAUUUUAUAUUAUCCUUCCUCUUGCCAAUGCAGUAACCUAUCAAAAUUCUUGAGAAGCAGCUGAUAUUUUCUCAGCCUCGUCCAUGACAAUUAUUUUACACCACAAUUGCCAACAGCGUUAUCCUGUUUUUCUUUAUCCCCUCCACAAGUUAGGAAGGAAUACUCAUAUAUAGUAUCUUCAAUUUUCACCGCCUACUUGACUUCAUUGCUUAGUUAAUAUUUGCAGAAAGAUGAGUUCAAUUAAAUCGCAUGCAGUAUGUCUUCCAUUCCCAGCACAAGGUCAUGUUAACCCCAUGAUGCAACUGGCCAAGCUCUUGCACUCUAGAGGCUUCCAUAUAACCUUUGUCAACACCGACUUCAAUCAUAGACGGUUGAUACGGUCUAGAGGGGAAGAAGCUGUUAAGGGUCUGCCUGAUUUCCGGUACGAAGCCAUACCCGAUGGGCUGCCACCUUCCGAUUCCGAUGCGACUCAGUGCGUUCCAGCAAUAUGCGAUUCCACACGAAAAAAUUGUUUGGCUCCAUUCUUGGAGCUACUAUCUAAGCUUAAUUCCUCACCCCAACUGCCCCCUGUUACUUGCAUAGUUUGUGAUGGAAUCAUGAACUGUGGUACCAAGGCAGCUCAACUCAUUGGGG